rnacentral:rRNA from 1 species
UACGGAGGGUGCGAGCGUUAUCCGGACUCACUGGGUUUAAAGGGUGCGUGGGCGGCUCGGUAAGUCAGUUGUGAAAGCUCCUUGCUUAACGAGGGAGGUGCGAUUGAUACUGUCGAGCUUGAAUCGGGAUGAGGCAGGCGGAAUGUGGCAUGUAUCGGUGAAAUGCAUAGAUAUGCCAUAGAACACCGAUUGCGAAGGCAUCCUGCUGGGCCUGUAUUUACGCUGAGGCACGAAAGCGUGGGGAGCAAAUAGG